rnacentral:rRNA from 1 species
UGGGGAAUAUUGCGCAAUGGGCGAAAGCCUGACGCAGCGACGCCGCGUGAGGGACGAAGGUCUUCGGAUUGUAAACCUCUUUCAGCAGGGACGAAGCGAAAGUGACUGUACCUGCAAAAGAAGCACCGGCUAACUACGUGCCAGCAGCCGCGGUAAUACGUAGGGUGCAAGCGUUGUCCGGAUUUAUUGGGCGUAAAGAGCUCGUAGGCGGUUUGUCGCGUCGGAUGUGAAAACCCAAUGGCUUAACCUUGGGCCUGCAUUCGAUACGGGCAGACUAGAGUGUGGUAGGGGAAACUGGAACUCCUGGUGUAGCGGUGGAAUGCGCAGAUAUCAGGAAGAACACCGAUGGCGAAGGCAGGUUUCUGGGCCAUAACUGACGCUGAGGAGCGAAAGCGUGGGGAGCGAACA